UCAAAGGUCAAGCAAGUUCAGCUUUGACACUGGCUUAGUUCUGUGACAAGGCCAUAUUGUGGGGGUAUAUUUCGUCACUCCUGUGACAACUCUAGUUUCAACUGUUUUAGAUUUAAUUUUAAAUGCAACAUGUAUUUUGAUAGGGAAAUAUACAAAGAGUCGUAUACAAUAAGUUUUUUUGUGUUCGAAUUAUGAAACAUGCAACAAAACAUGUUAUUUUAAGAUUAUCAACAUAAAGGAAUCAAGUUGAUGGUAUUUUCAAACAAAGUAAGAUUACCUAGCAUCUAUUUAAUGGAAUAGAAUCUUCACAGUAACAUUGAUAUUUGAGGUACAUACUUUUGGGGACCUUAAAGUUAAACUUAAGUUAAUAUAAAAGAGUUUAACUUAAUUUAGUUUAUCUUGAAGUUUAACUUAAUUUAUUUUUUAAUUUAUUUAGCUAAAGAGAGUGUAACGUAAUUCAUGUAGCUUAUUUUAAGUUAUUUGACAGAUGAAUUUCUCCAAAAACUUAACUGAGGGUAUCUGUAGUGUCUACUGAAGGACCCUUUUAAGGGCAUCAAGCUCCCGUCUGUCACAUAAGCCAUGUCAAACUGCCAACAUGUAGGGAUAGUCACAUACUUCCAUCCUCAUUCAUAAGUAUUCAGUUACUAGCAGAUUAAAAUAUAGUGGCACAUAAUUCAGGAAAACUGGGACUUAGCUAGUUGGUUCCUGUGUUCUGGUUUGAGAUACAUGUAGUAAGGUGAGACAUACACUCUUGGAAAAAAACAAUCUCUUUCAUAGCAUUUACCAAAAGCAGAAAUAUAUUUAGUUAUCAGCUACCAUCCAGUAGGCAAUAACUAUAACAUAAAUUUUAUGUGCAAUAUGGAUGUUACCUAGCUGCUAAUUGUAUUUUUCAGUCUUAAUAAUUGCUAUGAAACAGAAAAUUUGAAAUAUCUGCUUUAGUUGCUAGUUGUUGUUAGUAUGUCCCUGUGGUAGCACUAUGAUUUGUAGUAUUUUUUUCUCAACAUUUGGUAAGGCUUUGCUAAAGAGAACAUUUGCAGACCUCAUUGGAUGUAAAAUUUUGUACCCUCUUGUUGAGAACUGUAUUUGAAAUAAAUUUAAGGCUGCAUGUCUCCUGAUAUACACCAAGCUCUUAAAAUCAUACACCAUAAAAGUAAAUUGUUGAUUUUGAAAUAAGGUACCUUGCUGAAUAGCUGUAUAGAAAAGUUGAAAAAAAUUAAACAAUGGUGUAAAUUUGAAGCCAUGCUGCUUUGUUACUCUGAAGGUGCAAAAUCCAGCCGGUGUUUUUCAAUAUAUUUUAUCAUUGUUAAGGUUCCAGACGGUGUUUUAAAGUAACAGUUUCACACCAUAUUUUAUCAAUGUUCCAGCCGGUGUUUUAAAGUAACAUUUUUAAGGUAACAGUUUCACACAAUAUUUUAUCAUUGUUAAGGUUCCAGCCGGUGUUUUAAAGUAACAGUUUCACACCAUAUUUUAUCAUUGUUAAGGUUCCAGCCGUUGUUUUAAAGUAAAAGUUUCACACCAUAUUUUAUCAUUGUUAAAGUUCCAGCCGGUGUUAUAAAGUAACAAUUUUAAAGUAACAGUUUCACACAAUAUUUUGUCAUUGUUAAGGUUCCAGCCAGUGUUUUAAAGUAAUAGUUUCACACCAUAUUUUAUCAUUGUUAAGGUUCCAGCCGGUGUUUUAAAGUAACAUUUUUAAAGUAACAGUUUCACACAAUAUUUUAUCAUUGUUGAGGUUCCAGCCGGUGUUUUAAAGUAACAGUUUCACACCAUAUUUUAUCAUUGUUAAGGUUCCAGCCGGUGUUUUAAAGUAACAGUUUCACACCAUAUUUUAUCAUUGUUCAGGUUCCAGCCGGUGUUUUAAAGUAACAGUUUCACACCAUAUUUUAUCAUUGUUCAGGUUCCAGCCGGUGUUUUAAAGUAACAGUUUCACACGAUAUUUUAUCAUUGUUAAGGUUCCAGCCGGUGUUUAAAGUAACAGUUUCACACUAUAUUUUAUCAUUGUUAAGGUUCCAGCCGGUGUUCCAGCCGGUGAUUAAAGUAACAGUUUCACACUAUAUUUUAUCAUUGUUAUAUAAUGAAGUUCUGUACUGAUAUAUAUAUAUUUAUUACUCACUGUUUCUAAAACAUUGUGACUUGUUACAGAGCCAUUUGUUCCUUAGUUUGUAGACUUGCUCAAAUAUUGUCAUCAGAUGAAAUUGUUAUCAUUAAAAUGUGGGUAUUGUAGUAAAA
rnacentral:lncRNA from 1 species